GAGUCCGCCUGUGGGGUGAGAAACGCCAGGUCUCGCGAAGGGGGUUGUGUCGCUGGCGCCAUGUCGUACUGCUGGCAGGAAGGGAAAGACCAGAUAAUAUUUGUGACCAAAGAAGACCACGAGACACCUAGCAGUGCAGAGCUGGUGGCCGAUGACCCCAACGACCCAUAUGAGGAACAUGGGUUGAUACUGCCAAAUGGAGAAAUUAACUGGAACUGCCCGUGCCUGGGGGGCAUGGCCAGCGGCCCCUGUGGGGAACAGUUUAAGUCAGCCUUUUCCUGCUUCCACUAUAGCACAGAGGACAUCAAGGGAUCGGACUGUGUAGACCAGUUUCGGGCCAUGCAGGAAUGCAUGCAGAAAUACCCAGACCUAUAUCCCCAAGAGGAUGAAGAAGAGGAGGCAGAAGAGAAGCCAUCAGAACAUGCAGAGGAAAUGGCUCCCACUGGAGCCACUGCCACCAAAGAAGAGUCAGCGUCCAUUUAAUGCAGGUCACUG